rnacentral:rRNA from 1 species
AACGAACGCUGGCGGCAGGCUUAACACAUGCAAGUCGAACGGGUGCAGCAAUGCAUCAGUGGCAGACGGGUGAGUAACACGUGGGAACCUUCCUAGGGGUACGGAACAACUCAGGGAAACUUGAGCUAAUACCGUAUACGUCCGUGAGGAGAAAGAUUUAUCGCCCUUAGACGGGCCCGCGUCGGAUUAGCUAGUUGGUGGGGUAACGGCCUACCAAGGCGACGAUCCGUAGCUGAUCUUAGAGGAUGAUCAGCCACACUGGGACUGAGACACGGCCCAGACUCCAACGGGAGGCAGCAGUGGGGAAUCUUGGACAAUGGGCGCAAGCCUGAUCCAGCCAUGCCGCGUGAGUGAAGAAGGUCUUCGGAUUGUAAAGCUCUUUUGCCAGGGACGAUAAUGACGGUACCUGGAGAAUAAGCCCCGGCAAACUUCGUGCCAGCAGCCGCCGCAGUAA